rnacentral:rRNA from 1 species
UACGUAGGGAGCAAGCGUUGUCCGGAAUCAUUGGGCGUAAAGAGCGCGUAGGCGGUCCGGUAAGUCGGUUGUGAAAACUGGGGGCUCAACCCUCAGAGGCCGACCGAUACUGCCGGGCCAGAGUCCGGAAGAGGCGAGUGGAAUUCCUGGUGUAGCGGUGAAAUGCGCAGAUAUCAGGAAGAACACCCGUGGCGAAGGCGGCUCUCUGGGACGGUACUGACGCUGAGACGCGAAAGCGUGGGGAGCGAACAGG